rnacentral:rRNA from 1 species
GAUGAACGCUGGCGGCGUGCCUAAUACAUGCAAGUCGAACGGAGAGCAGCAAUGCUUUUAGUGGCGAACGGGUGAGUAACGCGUUGGUGACCUGCCCCGAAGAGAGGGAUAACAGACCGAAAGGUUUGCUAAUACCGCAUAAUCUGAUGGAAGAUUAGAAGUCUGUCAGGAAAGCCGAAAGGCGCUUUGGGAGGGGCCUGCGUCCCAUCAGCUAGUUGGUAAGGUAACGGCUUACCAAGGCGAAGACGGGUAGGGGACCUGAGAGGGUGACCCCCCACAAUGGAACUGAAACACGGUCCAUACACCUACGGGUGGCUG